AAGACAUGUAAACCUUUUUUUUUUUCCCCAAACCUGUCUGCUCUUGCAUUAUGCUCCAUUGGGAAUAUUCCUGUGUUGGAAUACUCUGUCUAUACAAAUGUCAGCCAAGAUACACAGCUAAAUGCAGAUGAAAUACGUUCACACAUAUAUGGAGAAUCUGUAUAAGAAGCGCAUACAAAGCAAUCUAGUACAUCAGGACCCCAGCGAUCUGGACCCUGACUGGCUGACUGGCUUCCCAGCCUGCCUCAUCACCAGAGACAUCCUGGUGAUCUACUCCCGGUUCCUGAUUAACCUUACCAGUCCUGAUCCCAACCCCAAUAUGUGGACUGACUUUCUGGCUUGACAUGGGAACUGCCUGAGCAUCACAAACUUGCCUGAUGUACUGCACUCAGGGUGGCCCUAAGCUGCUCCCCCCACAAGCCUGCCCUGCUCCCUCACAGGAGAAGUGGGACAAGCCCUGGAUGGUGAGGAACUGUGUUGCCACCCCAGGCAGCCCCUGUGGGUCCCGACGCCAUCACUCCCAGGGCGUCGCCAGCCCUGACAACAUCCACUUACUAAACCUUUUUUCCUUUGAAUAAAACAGCAAAUGUGAAACUCUGAA